rfam:Salmo salar isolate Sally breed double haploid chromosome ssa14, whole genome shotgun sequence.
UGUAAACAUCCCCGACUGGAAUCUGUUCUACAUCAUCAGAGCUUUCAGUCAGGUGUUUGCU